ACAAUCAAAACAUAACAUAGGCCCUGCCACUGGAAUGGGGUUUUGAGCUAAUGUUGGCAAUCAAACAAUCAGAUAGCUAAAACAUUUUUGAAAUAAUUCCCAUCUUCUGUUAUUGUUUGUAAUAACAGAAGUUUAUUAUUUUGUGGAUUUCACAAAUGUCAGUAUGUCAUGUCAUGCUGUAAACCGUUUAAAUCUGAGCAUGCGCAACUCACAUCUGCACUCGACCAGAACCGGUCUGACUUGACUCUCAUCGGGUAUGACAUGUUAUCCCGUAACCAUUUAAAUCUGAGCAUCCGUGAUGCAAAUCUGCACUCGACUUACAUCAGG